CGGGCUGGGGGCGGGGCUGCGGGAGCCCACGCGCGGCGGGCGGGCCCAGAGGCGGCGUGGACCUCCCCGGCGCACGGACGCGCGCAUUCGGGCCGAGGUGGCGAGCGGCGGGCUGCGGUGCCACCAGCGGACCAGCAGCUCCGGAGGACAGGGGGCUGUCCGGCCCCCUCUGUGCCCCCCCAGCCCCGCCUGAGUGGACUCGAGGGCCGGCUGCUGUCCACUCCCCAGGCCCACUCUGCCCUCUGGCCCCAGCCAUGGCGCCCCUGCUCGCCCUGUUCCUGGUGGCCCUGGUGGGCCUGCCUCUGGCCCAGGCCCUGGACUGCCACGUGUGUGCCUACAACGGGGAGAACUGCUUCAACCCCAUGCGCUGCCCGUCCAUGGUCACCUACUGCAUGACCACGCGCACCUACUUCACCCCCACCAAGAUGAAGGUGAGCAAGUCGUGCGUGCCCAGCUGCUUCGAGACCGUGUACGACGGCUACUCCAAGCACGCCUCCACCACCGUCUGCUGCCAGUACGACCUCUGCAACGGCGCCGGCCUUGCCGCCGCGGGGACCCCGGCCCUGGUCCCCGUGCUCCUGGCCGCCCUCUGGGGUCUGCUCUGAACCCCUGCCUGCCCCUCCCCGAGGAGCCAUCAAGGACGAAGCUCGAAGAGGCACACGCCACCCACUCACCUUGCCCCUGGCCGCUCCCCGACCCCCAGCCACGCCCAGGACUGUCUGCGAGGCCCCCGGCCUCUGAGCCCCUGAGCCCCUGAGCUCCCCCCACCUUCGGGCCUCACUCCCUGGCCACGGCCUGUCCAUGUCAAAAGGUGGGUGUGGGCCUGGCCCUCUGGAGGCCUCUGGCCGGGUGGGAGAGCUCGGCCCUCCGUCCCAGGAUGGGGCGCCCAGCCAUGCGAGCUGUGUAUGUCGGCCUCGGGGGGGCCCCCCUUCCUCGCAGCCCUGGAGUGAGGGCCCUUGGAGGACGGCCUCGGUCCCCAGCUGUCCAGGGAGGGUGUCAGCUUGGGGUCAGCCAGGACGAGGGCUCAGGUCUGGGGUUGGGGGGGGUUACUCAGUGCUGCUCUCGCUAAAUGUAACGCCUAGCACAGUGUCUGCAGAUGCAGCUGUAACACAGCUGUAAUGGGGGAGCUUGCCGGGAACCACGGGGUACGCUCAGCCACCUGCGAACGGGAAACCCGCCUGGAACUGACCAAAUAGUGGGCCCAGGCGCCGGCCAAGCCUUCCCCGGGAGCCGGGGCUAGAUGAGCCCACCUCCUUCCCUUCCGUGGCCCUGCAAUGCUUCACCUGCCAGGAGCCCUCGGGGGUGUUCAGCUGCGUCCUCAUCGCCACCUGCAAGGCCAACGAAACCAUGUGCAAGACCACACUCUACUCCCGGGAGAUCG